rnacentral:rRNA from 1 species
UACAGAGGUCUCAAGCGUUGUUCGGAUUCAUUGGGCGUAAAGGGUGUGUAGGUGGCGCCGUAAGUCGGGUGUGAAAUUUCGGAGCUUAACUCCGAAACUGCAUUCGAUACUGCGGGGCUUGAGUACUGGAGAGGAGAUUGGAAUUUACGGUGUAGCAGUGAAAUGCGUAGAUAUCGUAAGGAAGACCAGGGGCGAAGGCGAAUCUCUGGACAGUUACUGACACUGAGGCACGAAGGCCAGGGGAGCAAACGGG